AUUUAAUUUGGCUUUGGUUAUAAUAUAAAUUGUUGCUAAGUUUAUAUAUGUUAGGUUUUGAGACAUAGCGUUUUGUUUAUAUGUACAUUAUAUUUUUAAAGUUUAAUAUUAUAUAAAUGAGAGUACAGGUUAUUAGUAUUUUACUAGUAUAACAUUGAGUAGCUACGCAGUAUUUAUAUUUAUACAAUGAAUGAGAGUUUGAUAUAGUUAGUGUGUUUAAGAGUGGUUAAAUUGGUGCCAGCAUCUGCGGUUAUACCUAUACUUUUAGUUUAUAUUAAAACAGUAUAAAAUAAAGUAAUGAGGUUAAAUAUAUUAGAAUUGAUGAGAGUAGUAAUUGUAGGUAAAAUUUAAUUUAUUACUAUUAAUUGUAUUAUUCUAAGUUAAGUUCUUUGAAAAUAGGAUUUGAGUAGACUAGGAUUAGAGACCCUAUUAUUCUUUAUUUUAAAAAUUUUAUUACUUAGGUAGUAUAAAUAUAAAUAUUAUAUUUAAUUUUAUGAUGUUUGAAACUUAAAAGGCUUGGCGGUGUCAUAUAUCCUUCCAGGGGAGUUUGUUUAUUAAUUUGAUGAUCCUCAAUUUAUACUUACUUUUUUUUGAAUGUAACAGUUUGUGUAUUGCUGUCGUCAGUUUAUUUUGUAAAAAUUUUGGAAAAAACUUAAUAAUGAAUUGGUUGGGAUGUCAAGUCAAAAUGCAGCUAAUGAAAAAGGUUUAAGUGAACUACAAUUUAUAAUUUUUAAUCGGAUUGGGCUAUGUAAUUGGUUUAUGAAGUUGGACUUGGUAGUAAUAAAAAUUAUGUAAAUAGUGGGUUUUUAUGAAUUGGGUUUUAUGGUGCGUACAUAUCGCCCGUCGCUCUUGUUGGAAAAUAAGAUAAGUCGUAACAUAGUAGGGGUAGUGGAAGCUGUUCCUGGAGUGUA
rnacentral:ncRNA from 1 species